GACGAACGCUGGCGGCGUGCUUAACACAUGCCAGUCGUACGGUAAGGCCCUUUCGGGGGUACACGAGUGGCGAACGGGUGAGUAACACGUGAGUAACCUGCCCACAACUUUGGGAUAACGCUAGGAAACUGGUGCUAAUACUGGAUAUGUGCUCCUGCUGCAUGGUGGGGGUUGGAAAGCUCCGGCGGUUGUGGAUGGACUCGCGGCCUAUCAGCUUGUUGGUGGGGUAGUGGCCUACCAAGGCGGCGACGGGUAGCCGGCCUGAGAGGGUGACCGGCCACAUUGGGACUGAGAUACGGCCCAGACUCCUACGGGAGGCAGCAGUGGGGAAUAUUGCACAAUGGGCGCAAGCCUGAUGCAGCAACGCCGCGUGCGGGAUAACGGCCUUCGGGUUGUAAACCGCUUUCAGCAGGGACGAAGCUUUUUGUGACGGUACCUGCAGAAGAAGCACCGGCUAACUACGUG
rnacentral:rRNA from 1 species